rnacentral:rRNA from 1 species
CCCAGACUCCUACGGGAGGCAGCAGUGGGGAAUAUUGCACAAUGGGGGAAACCCUGAUGCAGCGACGCCGCGUGAGUGAAGAAGUAUUUCGGUAUGUAAAGCUCUAUCAGCAGGGAAGAAAUAGCGACCUUUGGGUCGCCAGACGGUACCUGAUUAAGAAGCCCCGGCUAACUACGUGCCAGCAGCCGCGGUAAUACGUAGGGGGCAAGCGUUAUCCGGAUUUACUGGGUGUAAAGGGAGCGUAGACGGCAGCGCAAGUCUGAAGUGAAAUGCCGGGGCUUAACCCCGGAACUGCAUUGGAAACUACCGGACUGGAGUGUCGGAGGGGUAAGUGGAAUUCCUAGUGUAGCGGUGAAAUGCGUAGAUAUUAGGAGGAACACCAGUGGCGAAGGCGGCUUACUGGACGAUCACUGACGCUGAGGCUCGAAAGCGUGGGGAGCAAACAGGAUUAGAUACCCUAGUA